rnacentral:rRNA from 1 species
AGCACCUCAAGUGGUCAGGAUGAUUAUUGGGCCUAAAGCAUCCGUAGCUCGUUUUGUAAGUUUUCGGUUAAAUCCAUGCGCUUAACGUAUGGGCUGCCGGGAAUACUGCAUACUAGGAAGUGGGAGAGGUAGACGGUACUCGGUAGGAAGGGGUAAAAUCCUUUGAUCUAUUGAUGACCACCUGUGGCGAAGGCGGUCUACCAGAACACGUUCGACGGUGAGGGAUGAAAGCUGGGGGAGCAAACC